CCGGGUUCGAUGCAGACACACCCGGUCCUGAAAGACGAUCCGUCCAAGUGCUGC
rnacentral:ncRNA from 1 species